GUCCCAGUAGCACAAUGAAUAGCCGGUUGGACUUCUAAUUCAAAGGUCGUGGGUUCGAAUUCCACUUGAGAUG